CUUAUACUCAUUUCGUCCGGAAAUACUUGUCAUAUGAAUGGAUGUAUCUAGAUGUAUUUUAGUUCUAGAUACAUUCACUUUUAUACAUUUAUGCGAUAAAUAAUUCCGGACAGAAGGAGUAUAUU
rfam:Hordeum vulgare subsp. vulgare, WGS project CAJW01000000 data, contig: morex_contig_1578914